UCGAACCUUAAAGUCAUGUAUUACUCUCUGAUCCAUUUACUAUUCUUUGCUAUUUUUGGUGCUUACAACUUUACGUAUGUUUAUCUUCUUCUUUAAUUUCUUUGUUUUGUUGACUUGUUACUGAUACGUAAUGUACUUUUGGGCUGAGCUUCAUAGUGCUUUGAAUAAGUUGAUAAAAAAGACCCUUUUUUGGGCUAGAGCAUAGGGUAGAAAUUCUGCGUAUAUAUGGGCGAUGUUAACAAUUUCUUUUCAAGAUCACUGUUUUUUGAGUUAUCUCUUUCCCGUCAAACUAAUUGAUAGAAUGAGGUGGUUGAGUUUCUGACUUCAAAGAAUUUGUUAUUGCUCUUGUGAAAUUUUCAUGGAUGAGUGUCUUUGAUGUUUCACUGAACAUAUAGGGUUCUAUUGUAGCUAUUGAAUGAAUUAUGAAACUAUGUUAUAUAGAGAACAAAAGUUCUACUACUAUUCAUGGAAUUGAGGUAUAAUUACUUUAUGAUUCAAUUGUUAAUAGUCAUAAAGAAUGAGACGAAGGAAGAUUCAUAAACUUUCACAAACAUAGAUACUUUGCCUCACAUACCUUUACUUUGGCCUUUUUAAGCGUAUCACAAUGUUUGUUACCUCUUUCACCAAUACACUAUGACAAUAUAUAUCAAGAGGAACCAAUAUUAGCAAUAAUGCUCAUGUUUUAGUCAUUUAAAUAUAUUAUCAAACACUUGGUGGGCAUAAAGCAUCAUAGCCUUUAUUAAUGGUGUUUCUACACCCAACAACCCAUCCUCACUCCUAGAUAAUUCUAAAAUCUCAAAUUGUUAUAAUCAAUAUCAUUCUUAAUCACCCAUGAGAUAAAUAACACCCUUAAUCAAUAAUAUAAUGUAUGAAAGAAGACAAACACUAGGUGUAGCUUCUUCCUAAUAGGUUAGUUGGACUUUUUCUUCCUAUGUUGUACAGUAUUUAUUUUGUUAAGCAUGUUCUCACUAUAGUUUCUGUCUUACUUCUAUUCAUUUGAUUUUGUUUGCCUUAUAAAAAAAAUAAUUUGAUUUUGCUUACUGUUAGAAGGGAAGCGUUGGAGCAAUGCUAAGUUGUCUGAACUAUAGGCCAUGACCGUGAAAUCAGCUACUAAUGCUUGAUUUUCAGGGUAGGCUGCGUGAAUGCGGGAUGCUUUAUGCACGGCGCUGCGAUUUUUUCUUGUUCGUCAUAGCUUGUUAUAGAUUUACCUUCUUUGUUCCAGUUACUUGUAAUAUCAUAGCUUACUAGAUUUCAGUUUGAUGGUUUCUUUUAUGAAAAUUUUCUUUUCUUCCACAGGGAUGGAUUUUAUCAUCAAGGUGUGGUGGGUUCAUGAAAUCUUAUUUCAGUAAAUCGGAGAAGUUGACUAGCGCCUUUCUAAAGCAGAAUCAAUGGUACGAAAUGCCUACUCAUCAUCAGAACUAAGAGACACUUAAUCUAAGAUAUGAGAACGAUAUAUUUUCGCCCUCAUGUUUGUAUGAGAAAGCUAUUAUUUAUACCCCCUUAUUUAGACGCACACUACCUUAGUUGGCUUUAGAUGACAGACCUGUAAGACUGUGCCUACCGUUCCUUUCUGUUCAUGAACCCCUCAUAGAUGAUAUAUCUAGUAUCAUAGGUAGAGUGAUAUCUCCAGUUUGCCCAUCCUGGCAUUGUGUUUGUUAUGGGACUUGAGCUUAUCUGUGCACCACAACUGGGACCCUUGUCUUCAUGCAAUCAGGCUAUUCUUUGCUACUAAAGUGGCACCUUGUCUCUUGGUCUAUCUCGUCCUCCCUCUCCUAACCUGUCCGUAGUUGCAUAUUUGGACGCUUACUGGCAUAUCAACCCGAUACCUGUUGCUCUACUAUGGUUAUGCUGUUUUUCUUGGUUCUGACAUUGUCGCCUUGAGUGCAAGAAACAACCUGCUGGUACUAAACCCAGUGCAUAUUGACAACUCCAAUCCAUCAAUUACAUUGACAAAGCAUAUUCAGAUAAGAGAUAUAGAUUAGUAUUAAGUCAUACCUAUGAAAUGGAUCUAAUCGAUCAAAUGUAAAUUUCAAAGUAGAUACAUAU
rnacentral:lncRNA from 1 species